ensembl:lncRNA
CAGCAUCACUGUAUUCUGGUAAAGCUGUUUUCGCUGGUAAAGAGAGAAUCUCCUUGAAUUUGCUCUGCUCUGCAUUUUUCUCUGGUGCAGGAGGUGCAGUUUCUCAUAAUGAGGUUUUUAAUCUCAUUGUGCGUGUCUCUGCUGCUGCUUAAUAAUGGUGAAAUAAUCAAUGGACAAACACCAGGAGUGUAUCAGAGUGCAAGAUUUGCACGGUGCGCAUGGUGCUGAGUGCAACGCGCAAGAGAUGUGCUGUGGGGUUACAUCAUUUUAUUCUUAUGCCUACAUAUUUUUUUCUUCAUUGCAAAUCUUGUUUGGUUUUAUUUUGUGUCACUGCAUGUAAAAAAAUAAUUUUCAUUUAUUACAUCACUUUGCAGUUUCACAUUUUGCAUAUGCAUUACAAUCUUAUUUGCAGUCCGUAGAAUUUUAUAAUUAUUUGAACAAUAAUAUUUAACAUAACCUGAUUUGUAUCUGUAUCAGUUAAUACAAAAGAGAUCCCAGCC